rnacentral:lncRNA from 1 species
CUGCCCAGUUGGAUGAGGUAAAGAAGCCCACAGGUGUAAGAGAAGAUUUGCUGAGGUAUUUGUGAUGACUCACCCCUCGUUGUAGGAAGGCUACAGGCAGGAAUGACAGAAGCUCAGAUGUGAUUUGCAGAGCUAUCAAAUGAGAACAAAAGAGAUGCACGCAUUCUGAGUGAUGUGGAAGAAAAUAUUCCACAGCUAGAGGAGCUGGUCUGAGGCUGUGAACACGUGUAUGACAGAUCACCUGAAAGACCACAGUCCAAGAAGGUCAGAAAAUCACCCUAGAGCCCUGCUAGGGAACAGCACUUUGCACAUGGUUACAACGUAGACCAGAGAAUGAGGGAUCCAAACAGUUCAUCUCCAUUCCAGCCAGCUGGCUGGGACAUUUCAGCCCCUCUGAAACUCAGCUCACAGCCUCAUAAAACGCGAAAAUGAAAACAACAGCAAUCAGAUGCCAAAGUGAUUCAUUUGGACAAAUGCACCGGUUCAUCAUCAGGGAAUGAAACAUCAGAAAUGGUUUGCUU